rnacentral:lncRNA from 1 species
AGGAGACCAGGUGUGCAGGGUGAUGAACACCAGGUAACCAGGAAGCCACUAGGUCAGUUCCCUGAACCACAGAACAACACAACACCCAUCCCAGGGGUUGGGAAUCUAUCCACAAAAGUCCACUUGUAGAAGGGGCUUCCUGGUAUUGUGGCCAGGCCAUUUCUCUGGGUGCAGGUUUUUCAUUGUGCAAUCUUCUCAGAGACCCACCUGUACUUGACUCCUUCCCAGUGACUCCAUCUCUCCCUCCUCUGGGCUUCUGGAAUGGUACAAGGGCCCCACCUUACUUAGCCAGGCAGCUGUGAUGAGAGGUGUUGACCCAGCUGCCUCUCUGCUAGCUCACUGUGUCAGGUGGAAGGGGCUGAGAGAGCAGCAGGGCCAUAUCUUUCUGUAUGGCCAGGGACCCUGGGACUGUCCAGAGGCAGGACUGGGGCCAGGGUCCUCUGGGAGUCAGCCAGACACUGGGUGAUGAAUGGUACAGGGAGCCGAUGAGAAACAGGCUCUGGGCCAGGAAAAACAGCCCAGAGCUACAGGUGUUCUGCUGUUCCUGCUCCUUUCCUGUCUUAAUCCCUCCUGUUUGGUGACAGCACUCAGCCAGGCCUGGAGACCAGCAGGGAACACCUGCUGACCUGAGAGUAAAUUUCUAUGGGGGAUGGAGAUGGUCACAUGUGUCUGGUUUCUGUGAACGUCACACUCCACGUCAUUGCAGGAGACAGAGUUACGAAUGACCCAGCACACCGCACGG